GGACCCCGGCGCCCGCGGGAACCCGCGCCCCAACCCUGCGCCCAGCCGUGCCCGGCCAGGGAGCACCGGGAAGAUGAACAACGGCGGCAAAGCCGAGAAGGAGAACACCCCGAGCGAGGCCAACCUGCAGGAGGAAGAGGUCCGGACUCUGUUUGUCAGUGGUCUUCCCCUGGACAUCAAACCGCGGGAGCUCUAUCUGCUCUUCAGACCAUUUAAGGGUUAUGAGGGUUCUCUUAUCAAGCUCACAUCUAAGCAGCCCGUAGGUUUUGUCAGUUUUGACAGUCGCUCUGAAGCAGAAGCUGCAAAGAACGCCUUGAACGGCAUCCGCUUCGAUCCUGAGAUUCCGCAGACACUACGACUAGAGUUUGCUAAGGCAAACACGAAGAUGGCCAAGAACAAGCUCGUCGGGACCCCCAACCCCAGCGCUCCUCUGCCCAACACUGUACCUCAGUUCAUUGCCAGAGAGCCAUAUGAGCUCACAGUGCCUGCACUUUACCCCAGUAGCCCUGAAGUGUGGGCCCCGUACCCUCUGUACCCAGCGGAGUUAGCGCCUGCUCUUCCUCCUCCUGCUUUCACCUAUCCCGCUUCACUGCAUGCCCAGAUGCGCUGGCUCCCUCCCUCAGAGGCUACUUCUCAGGGCUGGAAGUCCCGUCAGUUCUGCUGAACGCUGUGUCCCAGGUGUGUGAUGGCGGCUGCAAUCUGUCUUGUGGGUAUUAGUGCGAUCCUCACUGGUGGCGACUGUUCUCCAGCUGUUCUGCAAAACUGGAGCCUGCUGGCUUGAAAAAACCUUGCCCAGUUUUGAGCCCUUCAAGACUUUGCCACAGCCUCUAUCACACAUCUGUUUUCUUCAAAGAAAAAAAAUAUAAUAAAAAUGUUUUACUCUUUUACACUGUAUAGUUUUAAGAAAUAGUGUGUUAUCUGUGAAUGCAUGGUCUGACAUUUCUGUAGUUUGGAGAUAUUUUCAAAUGAAACAAAGGAAGUCAACAGGAAAACCAAGCGAGUAUUUUUAUACCAAACGUUUUAAGUAUGACAGGGUGGAAUCUUACACUGGGUUGGAUCACAACUUUUGUGCUUGAGUUUUGAAUGCUUGUAACGAAAUAUAUUUUUUCUUUAAAAUAAACUGCAUGUUUGAGGCAUGUUCUAAAUAGUGUGGAAAUUCCAGAAUUGUAUUGUGAAAGUGUAGAUCUGUCUGCCUGGCCAGUCCUGGGCAUAUUAAUUACAAACUGAAUUGGUCUCUGUGGCACUAGGCUGCAAUCCUAGUUCCCAUAGGCUAACCUUGCACGACAAUCAAAGCUGCCAUUUGGGAAAAGAAAAUUUUGGCAACAUCUCGAGUGUGCCCUUCAAAGUCACGGCAGCUCCAGCCAUGACUGUAUAAACUGUGCCUGGUGUUUGUUAGAUUUUGCUGUUUUAUAUUUAUCAUUUACAAUAGAUAGCAUGCUCUGUGUGUAAGUGACUUGGUAUAUCUCACCUUCCAUAAACCAUUCCUACUUCCCAGUGGAACUGUAGGGUUGGCCUCACUAAGGGAAGACCGUGGCAUGCGGUCGACAUGGCCUCAGGAGGAACUGGCUUCACCUGACUUGGCUACACAGUAGGCAUUUGUUCCCCAAGUGAUUUUGCAAGGCUUUGGCUCAGCGAAGCUGGCGUUCUAAGUUGGCAGCCAUGUCAAAUAGCACCCAGCAGGUGCUCUGGAAUCCUGUAUGCUCAUAGUGAGGCGACCCACUGCAUUGCACCUUCAAGACGUCUUCAAAGCCAGCAGUCAGUCUUGUGCUGUAGGCUGCCACCCUUCCCCUCCUCCCCCAUGUGCGAGCCAUAUGUAUGAGGAUGCCCACCUCGGAAUGUCCAACAGCUAAUGAUAUAGCUGGAUGUGGUCACAGUCUUUGUUACUGCUCUGCUCAAGUUGUAUUUUUUGAAAACGUCAAUGUUUUAAUAAUUUCAUGGUUUGUUUAAAGGUUUUGUUUCAUUAUUUUUCAUUGGAAAUAAAAAUGUCAAAUUUUUAAAGGUCAUUUUACACAUACACAGGCCUGAAGUGAGGGGCUCUUUCUCAUCAUAAGAGGGAAGAAACUUGGAGACUUCUGUCACAUUCACAUCAGUGAUCAGGGCCCUGCCCAUGCCCUCAGCGUCACUCGCUCUUGGUGAGACUCCUCUACUUGCUCCUAAGGCAAACAGAGCCACUUCAUAGUCAAUUAUGCUUUUAUAAACUGUUUAAAGGUACUUUUCUAUUGUCAUUUUUUAAAAAUAAAGUGUUUAUUCCAGCUAUCA